UCAUCUUUCUGUGAGAGCCCAUUUCAAAACAGGGUAUUCUGGAUUCUCUAAACUCAUUAACUGAAGGAUCAGUUGCCUUCUCAAAGACUUGCUAAGUGGAUGCCAGUUCUGAAUUAUUUCCUCCAGCUGUUGGACUGCACGUGUAUAUAGUCGCUUUAGUUAAUUGCAGGAUCCAGCGAUCUCCCUCUCCUACCCAGAAGCCCAAAAAGGUUCUAGGAGGUUAUCUCAGUCUGGUCUGGUUUUUGCUGCUAUAACAGAAUACCAGACUGGGUGAAUUACAAUGAACAAAAACGUAUUUAGUUCUGAAGGUUGGGAAGUCCGAGAGCAGGGGGUCGGGUCGGCAUCCGGUCGGGGACUUCGUGCUGCAUCAUCCUGUGGCAGAAGACAGAACAAGAAAGCGCCUGACAGCAAGACAGGAAGUGGGGCCAAACUCGCUUAAUAACCACCCUACUUUCCUGAUGACACACCCACUCCAGUGACAACAGUAAUCCUCUCCUGAGGUCUAGAGCCCUCAUGACCCAUUCACCUCUUAUUAGGCUCCGUCUCCAAACACUAUCGCAUUGGGGAUGAAGUUUCCAACACAUGACUGUGAUUAUGACACAGUCAAAUCAUAGGACGAAGCAAAGAGGAAGUAAACUCGUUUCAGGAGAAACUCAAAAUGUGUUAUUAAUGUAGUCAGAUUUGUUAUUUUUGAGAAUGAGGACGUUUGUCUUCCUUUACCUCAGGGAUGGUCCACGAACCAUCCACCUGAUGCCUCUUCUGCCACACGUGUCUCUGCCCACAUCUGUGCCUAGAGCUCCUGGGCAGAGACCCCUUGAGAGGAUCUCUCUCCCUCUCCCAGUGGUGAUGGGAGGCAGGCUGCCCUUCCCUUUCUGUCCUGUCCCUUAAUGCUCCACCCUACCACUGUGACUGCACGACGGGUGCUUGAUGUCAGACCUACCUAAAUGAGGGAACUGUGACACAGGACAGAAAUCAACCAAAUGUGGAGAAUGUGAAGAAAGAGGGGAGGGAGACCUUAAGGAACUGGCUCACACCAUUGUGGAGGCGGGCAAGUUAAAACCUGCAGGGUAGGCCGGCAGGCUGCAGACCCGGGAAGAACCAAUGCCAGUCUGCAGGCGGGGCCCCCUUGAGAGACAGGGAAUUCCACCCGAAUGACCGACUUCGGACUCCAUUCAACCGAAUGGGUGAGGCCUACCUACAGUAUGGAGGGCCAACUGAUUUACUCGGAGUCUACUGAUUUAAAUCGUAAUCUCAUGCAAAAAACACCUCCACAGAAAUACCUUGGACAAUAUUUCAGCAGCCGUCUGAAUACUGCGGCCUAACCAAGUUGGCACAUGUGAUUAUCGCUAGUCUCCCUCAAGUCUAGUUCCCUAACCUCCCCAUUAUCCGGCAAGGCUGAUGUGGCUGCAAAAGAGACAGAAGGCAUAAUCAUUGCACAACCCAGGAAUGAGAUAGUGUGUCCUUCUACCACACGUGCAUCCCACUCUGAGUGUUAACAUCUCAUUUCUGUCCUCUUGCUUCUCGCUGUAAGUUUUCAGUGAAUGUAAUAAACCGUGUUAUUGAAGCAUCUUAA